rnacentral:lncRNA from 1 species
UUAGGGCAGAAGAAGGUGCAGUGCCCCCGGAACAAGGGUGGGCAGUACUGGAGCAGAAAUUUCUGCUGGACGGCACUGAUGUGGACACUUCACAGAAGCGAAACGCACAAGCAGAAUGAGCCAAGAACACGCUGGUGGUCAGGGCAAGGCACGUACAGAACAAGGAAGGAGCAAACACCAGAGGCAGCUGGAGUCCAGAAAUGAUUUUUUUUCGGUGAAUUUAGGAUUUUGCCGCAGUAUACAUCUGCAGUCCCAGAAUCCUCCGGUAAUUCAAAAGCAUCUGUUUUAGGGAAGGGAUGCCUUACACUCAGGUUCCGUCUUCUACUGCUUGAUAUGCCAGUGGCCUGAAAGCAUGACAAGAAAUAUCUUCUCUCUUUAACUAGCCGGAGACACUUGGUUUCUAAGAACACAGCUUAAAAAUUAAAACCACUUGUCUGUCGCCAUUUCAUAAAAUUAAUUUAUGUCAAACCCAGGAUGACCGGCUCUAGAAGGAAAAGGCAAAAAACAGGUAACCAACUGUUUUUAUGAAAUGUAUUGUCCAAGGUCAAUUUUUUAAAAAAUUAUUUAACAAAAUUUCUUAUUUUACCAAACUCAGGUAUUUCGAUACUGUAUUUUUCUUUGGUUUAAUGAUAGUAUUUGUCUUCAUUCUAUAGAAGUUAUUCAUCUCAUAUUUUUGGUGAGACAACUAGAACAAUUUCUGCCUUAUGAAACAUGCAAAUAAAAAUUAGGAGCAAUGUUAAGUUUAACUAACUUGCUUUAAUGCUAGUCAACCAGUAAUUCUUCAGUGAACUUAUUAUGACAGGAAAAACAGCAUGUUGCAUUGUUGCAAAUUUUACCUUUUUUUUUAUAACAUGUAUUUGUUUAUGGUGUCAAUAGGGAUUAAAAAUCCUAAUUCUAAAUUUAAAGUAUUUAAACUAUAGAAAAAUGAUUCCAUUAUUUUGGUAAUGGAACACAGAAACAGAAAUACAGAAAUGUUUUUUUACUUUAGAUCUUCCAAUGGUGCAGAUAUUUCUUAGCCAAUUUCAAGAGUGCCUUAUUUAACAACAAAAAAACUGCAUAUAGAAAAACAACACUAAAAAAAAACCCUGCAAAAGUGGUGAAUCUGUCGUCUGAUUUUGAAUGUAUGACUUUAAUCAAAUCAAUUGCAUAUUCCUUAACUCUGCAAAUGACAAUCAAAAUUAGGAAUCAGUACCUGAAAACUCCAUUUAUACUUCUGAGUUUAUAUUAGAAACAUGGCUUUAAUGAAAUACCUUUUUUCGGUUCAAUCUUUUUGAAUUGUGAGUACAACCAAUAGCUAUACUCAAUUCUACAGAAUUACUAGGGAAGAUACUAAUGAGAAGGUCUUUCUAGACAAUGGAGUCACUGAACGUCAUCUUAAGUGUGUGGACUUUUUCCACUGCAGUGGCCCACAUGUGCUAUGGUGACAGACGGCAGUUGGCAUUACCAUUUAUAUAGUAAAACAUCUUUAAGACAAAAAUAAAAGUUAUUUCAAGAAUAUGCUGUCCCUGAAACACAAGCUAUGCCUUAAGCUACAUAUCCUACCUCCAUGAGUGCAUAAGUAAGUGGGUUUCCUGCCUGGAUCUAUGUGUAAAGACCUAUUGUUUGCAUGUAUUAAUUGCGGUCCUGGGAUAAAAGCACAGAGGUAACUUUCACUGUUGCUUUUUGUACUCUCUCCAAUGUUUUGGAGGAAAAAUAAGCACAAACAAUAGACUAGAGAAAGUGAAGCGAUCGUAAUUGUUGCAGCUUUGACAAAUGCCAAUUUUGCUGCAUUACAAUGGGAAACAUUUUUCAGCCUAUAAAAAUUAAUUACAAAACGUUUUUAAAGUCAGUUAAAAAAAUUAGAGGCUGCCUAAUCGAUCGCUUUUUCUAUAAACAUACUUCGAUUUCUCAAGUAAUACCGUAAAAAUCGUCUUCUCCAAAGAAAAAUCCCCACAAAUAAAUCUAUUGAUACCUAGUGACAAGUGGAACCAGAUAAAAAUGCAAUCUAUAAGAAUUAACUUAAUUGACAGUGCUCUGGAGCUAAUCCAUUUCCACUAGUUACUUGUUCACAGUAGGUACUCAGAAGGACUUGUUGAACUGCGGGCUUGGCGCCCAUCCUACGGGGAGUUCACAGCCCUCGCGAGUGGGAUCGAGGUCGGCUUGGCCCGUGGUUCGGGUCGAAACUCAAGCUGAGCCGCCUGCUGAGAGGUGGGACCCAGCAUCCAGACAGUG